rnacentral:rRNA from 1 species
AGAACGAACGCUGGCGGCAUGCCUAAUACAUGCAAGUCGAACGAGAUCUUCGGAUCUAGUGGCGCACGGGUGCGUAACGCGUGGGAAUCUACCCUUGGGUUCGGAAUAACAGUUGGAAACGACUGCUAAUACCGGAUGAUGACGAAAGUCCAAAGAUUUAUCGCCCAGGGAUGAGCCCGCGUAGGAUUAGCUAGUUGGUGAGGUAAAGGCUCACCAAGGCUACGAUCCUUAGCUGGUCUGAGAGGAUGAUCAGCCACACUGGGACUGAGACACGGCCCAGACUCCUACGGGAGGCAGCAGUAGGGAAUAUUGGACAAUGGGGGCAACCCUGAUCCAGCAAUGCCGCGUGAGUGAUGAAGGCCUUAGGGUGUAAGCUCUUUACCGAGAUGAUAAUGACUAGUAGUCGGAG